rnacentral:tRNA from 1 species
GCGAACGUGGUGGAAUUGGUAGACACGCUAUCUUGAGGGGGUAGUGCCUUACGGCGUGAGGGUUCAAGUCCCUCCGUUCGCACCA